rnacentral:rRNA from 1 species
AAAUCCCACGGCUCAACCGUGGGGCUUGCUGGGGAUACUGCGGGCCUUGGGACCGGGAGAGGCGGGGGGUACCCCUGGGGUAGGGGUGAAAUCCUAUAAUCCCAGGGGGACCGCCAGUGGCGAAGGCGCCCCGCUGGAACGGGUCCGACGGUGAGGGACGAAGGCCAGGGGAGCGAACCGGAUUAGAUACCCGGGUAGUCCUGGCUGUAAAGGAUGCGGGCUAGGUGUCGGGCGAGCUUCGAGCUCGCCCGGUACCGGAGGGAAGCCGUUAAGCCCGCCGCCUGGGGAGUACGGCCGCAAGGCUGAAACUUAAAGGAAUUGGCGGGGGAGCACUACAAGGGGUGGAGCGUGCGGUUUAAUUGGAUUCAACGCCGGGAACCUCACCGGGGGCGACGGCAGGAUGAAGGCCAGGCUGAAGGUCUUGCCGGACGCGCCGAGAGGAGGUGCAUGGCCGCCGUCAGCUCGUACCGUGAGGCGUCCACUUAAGUGUGGUAACGAGCGAGACCCGCGCCCCCAGUUGCCAGUCCUCCCCGCUGGGGAGGAGGCACUCUGGGGGGACCGCCGGCGAUAAGCCGGAGGAAGGAGCGGGCGACGGUAGGUCAGUAUGCCCCGAAACCCCCGGGCUACACGCGCGCUACAAUGGGCGGGACAAUGGGAUCCGACCCCGAAAGGGGAAGGGAAUCCCCUAAACCCGCCCUCAGUUCGGAUCGCGGGCUGCAACUCGCCCGCGUGAAGCUGGAAUCCCUAGUACCCGCGUGUCAUCAUCGCGCGGCGAAUACGUCCCUGCUCCUUGCACACACCGCCCGUCACUCCACCCGAGCGGGGUCCGGGUGAGGCUCGGUCUCCCUUCGGGGAGGCCGGGUCGAGCCCGGGCUCCGUGAGGGGGGAGAAGUCGUAACAAGGUAGCCGUAGGGGAACCUACGGCUCGAUCACCUCCU